rnacentral:rRNA from 1 species
UACGAAGGGGGCGAGCGUUGUUCGGAUUUACUGGGCGUAAAGGGCUCGUAGGCGGCCAACUAAGUCAGACGUGAAAUCCCUCAGCUUAACUGGGGAACUGCGUCUGAUACUGGAUGGCUUGGAUUCGGGAGAGGAAUGCGGAAUUCCAGGUGUAGCGGUGAAAUGCGUAGAUAUCUGGAGGAACACCGGUGGCGAAGGCGGCAUUCUGGACCGACAUUGACGCUGAGGAGCGAAAGCCAGGGGAGCAAACGGA